UUCGUAGGUGGCAAGCGUUAUCCGGAUUUAUUGGGCGUAAAGGGAACGCAGGCGGUCUUUUAAGUCUGAUGUGAAAGCCUUCGGCUUAACCGGAGUAGUGCAUUGGAAACUGGGAGACUUGAGUGCAGAAGAGGAGAGUGGAACUCCAUGUGUAGCGGUGAAAUGCGUAGAUAUAUGGAAGAACACCAGUGGCGAAAGCGGCUCUCUGGUCUGUAACUGACGCUGAGGUUCGAAAGCGUGGGUAGCAAACAGG
rnacentral:rRNA from 1 species